UGUAUAUUUUUUAUUCACAUUUUUCAAGGGGUGCUGUAGCACCCUCAGCACCCCUACUUCCCACUGCUAUGGGUAGGGGUUAAGGUUAGGGUAGGGACAUCCCAAGGAGGCAGGAUUGCACUGACCAUACAUUUGUCUUUCCAACUAUUCAGCCAAGUUUAUCACACAUGCUGCUACAUCAGCCUGGCCUUUCCUGCCUUUAGGUUUCCGUGUUUACUUUUAUCAUUGGAUCACAUUUUGUCAUUCUCUGACUACUUACUGGCUGCAGAGAAAAUCGAUCAAAACAAAAGCAAGCUAACCUAAAUAUGGCACCAAAUAAUCAGACAAUUAGAAACUACUCAGGUCCUAGAGGUAUUUAAAAAGGUACUUUCAACGUGAGUGAAUUUGCUAUGAUAUUACUUGCCACUGUUUUUGCUGUUUCCGAAAACUAGCUAACCAUGUCUGAUCUGAACAAUCACCCAAGACUAUAGUACGAGCCUAUUAACUAAUUCACCUAUUUCAUGAUUAAUAUGCCACUGCAGUGGAGCGAUGAUCAACUGCAUGUGUUUUAUGAAAAUGAAGUGAAAACGAAUGUGGACCUCUCCAUUUCUACAAAACGGCUUUAAGGUGGUAAGGUGAGUGCCUGCAUUUCCCCCCCAUGUAAGCCAUUACAUCUCCAAUGCAUUUGUGAUAUUAUGCAUGUAUGACAUGUAUUCUAAGCAGGAGGUCCAGAACAGACAUAUUUCAACACCCAGACUUCUGUAGUCACAGAGAUGAGAGAAGUUGACAAGGAAUUGUCCAGCUGCGCGUGGAAGGUCCCUUGUGAAGAGAGAAACAGCUGAGAGCACAAAGCCCCCUGGACAUGCGAUGACAACAAUUGAAAAGGACAGCAACAGACCUAUGCAACUACAUCAACUUCAGCAUUCCAGAGCCAGAAAUUCAGCCUCAAGUUUCCCUCCCUCCCUCCUCGGAAUCAUUUAGCUACCUGUGAAACUCAAGACUGCAUGAAAGUGUUUGAUAAGAACACCACAAUGGUAGCCUCUGCCAUGUCCCAAACAACCGGAUGUUCCAGUUUCUUUUAUGCCUGCUACGUUAUGUUACCACAACGGAAAUCCAGAAGCACAUUCUAACAGAGUUGAGAAUUAGUCUAACAAGACAAUUUGGUGUAAGGCUCAUUUAGUUGUGCAAUAUUCUAGCCCUGGAUUCACUAGUAGAGCCGAUAUACAAUGCAACUCUUAUUUGAUGAGACAGCAGCCUAACAAUUUACUGAUUAUUUCAGGAUCAAGAUGAUGUGUCGAAGGAAGCUCUCUAAAGGACAAGAUCCUUUAAUCUCUGCAAUAUUAACAUGCUGCGUCCUCUCUCCACACAUCCCACCCCCCAAGUCACUUCUGACUAACCCCUCAACUUCUUGAAUUACUGAAAGUGUAGUGUCGUGAGUUGACAAAAACGUAUGUCAAGGACACAUUUUUAUAUUUUGUUGACGUGUGACUCAGCAAUUAAUAAUUUCUCCACCUGCUCUUUAGUUUAUUAGUGAUUUAAGUAGUAGCAAUAACCAGUACGGGGCACUAGUGUGCUGUUAACCACACACUGUUCUACUCAACAGUUGGAACCAUGAUACUGUAUAUAUAAGCUAGAUGUUUUGUGAGUAUGAUGUUUACUGCUCAUUUUGUUUUUCACUUUUGUAUAUUAUCUACUUCACUUGCUUUGGCAAUGUUAACAUAUGUUUCCUAUGCCAAUAAAGCCCCUUGAAUGAAUUGGUUUGUCAAACAACUUAUGUAUGUAAUACGUGUUUGUUUUUUUGAAACUUCAAAUCAACCUCAAGUCACCAUCACUCGAAAGCAGGAUGUCCACAAAAUAAUGACAAGACCAAAAAAAGUAUGCUUAUGGAUGUGUAUUUUAAUAAAAAUAAUUCUGUCAAAAUAAAACAGAAUACAAUAUUUCUUUAUCAUGUUUCCAGUACAUAGGUAUGUUUUUUAAAAUUAUAAUUUCUUUUUUAUAUUGUUUAAGGUUUUAAAAGUUUCAUGCUAAGUACAGGGUAACUCAUUUCACAAAUGCUAAACUCAAUAUGAAAUUUAAAUCAUAAUAGAAGUAUAUUGUGCACAGCUUGUUUUCAAUUCCUAAUUCCAUUACCUUCGCCUCUCCAUUUGAAGCACGGAUAGCUCCAAAGGCCAAUUUAAAACAGAAAAGGAAAACUGGGAGGUUGUUUGCUAGAGUAGGUGUGUCUAUAAAAGUCCCAGGAGAAGCUCAACAGAUUCCUCCCUUUCUACACACACAUCCCUAUAUAUUAGUCAAGUUAAAAAUUCUACUGUAUAAUGAAUUCUCUUAAAAUGGAAAUAUACAUUUUGGGUGGCUAUUCUAUUGAGUUCAAAAAGCCAUUUGCUGUUUUUGAAAGAAACCAAGAGAUACAUGAUUUGCUAUAAUGUCAAGCUAUUAUCAAUACCUAUCUGCUGUCUGUUUCCAAUAUUGAAAGCCUAGGACUGGUUGUAUUCUGAAUGACCAUUAAACAGAAUAGUGAAAACCCAUGUGAACGGAUAGGGCCGUCUAGAGACUUAAUUAACUGAACAACACGAGUUAAAAUAACUCAAAUUUGAUUCCAACAUGGGUUACGAUUGUGUAAAAAAGAAAAAAAUAAUCCAAAUGGCCUUUGUGAACAAUGUUAAGGGAUAUUAAAGUCUACCAAACACUAAUAACAAGCUGCAAGCUGAUGAUUUCUACUCCCACCAGCCCUUUGCUUCACAAACAUGCUUUACAUGAUUGUCAAAAAGUGAAUGAAACACAUUGCAAUAUGUCUAACAGGUGUAGGGGAUGUCAAUAUCAAUCUCAUGAUGGCCAGCAGCAAAUCUGAAACAUAAAUGUAAUAUAAUCUGCUAAACUACAUUCAACAAACAGUGGAGCGCCUCUUGCUGGCUGGCUGGCUGAAAUACUGGGUUAAUACAUCAAUGAUCAACAUUUGUGCCAAGAGAACAUCUGUUAAAUA